rnacentral:rRNA from 1 species
AUUGAACGCUGGCGGCAUGCCUUACACAUGCAAGUCGAACGGUAACGCGGGGCAACCUGGCGACGAGUGGCGAACGGGUGAGUAAUGUAUCGGAACGUGCCCAGUUGUGGGGGAUAACUGCUCGAAAGAGCAGCUAAUACCGCAUACGACCUGAGGGUGAAAGCGGGGGAUCGCAAGACCUCGCGCAAUUGGAGCGGCCGAUAUCAGAUUAGGUAGUUGGUGGGGUAAAGGCUCACCAAGCCAACGAUCUGUAGCUGGUCUGAGAGGACGACCAGCCACACUGGGACUGAGAAACGGCCCAGACUCCUACGGGAGGCAGCAGUGGGGAAUUUUGGACAAUGGACGCAAGUCUGAUCCAGCCAUGCCGCGUGCGGGAAGAAGGCCUUCGGGUUGUAAACCGCUUUUGUCAGGGAAGAAACGCUCUGGGUUAAUACCUCGGGGUAAUGACGGUACCUGAAGAAUAAGCACCGGCUAACUACGUGCCAGCAGCCGCAGUAAAAC